UAAUUAAUAUACUGGCCGAAUACCGUGAAGAAGAGUAACAUUUUUUGAGAAGAAGAAGAGGAAGAAAACCACUAAUAACAAACAUG